rnacentral:rRNA from 1 species
UGGGUUCAGAACGUCGUAAGACAGUUCGGUCCUUAUCCUCUGUGGGCGUAGGAGAUUUGAGGAGAACAUUCCAUAGUACGAGAGGACCUGGAAUGACAUACCUCUGGUGUUCCAGCUGUUCCGCCAGGAGCAUCGCUGGGUAGCUAUGUAUGGAACGGAUAAGCGCUGAAAGCAUCUAAGCGCCAAGCCUCCUCCAAGACUAGAUCUCCCGGACCGCAAGGUCCCUAAAGGCAGGUUGAAGACUACGACCUUGAUAGGCCGGAUGUGAAAGUUUGGUGACAAACUGAGCUUACCGGUACUAAUCCGCCGUGUGGUUUGACCUUAU